rnacentral:ncRNA from 1 species
AAGCAGGGACGACUUUGCUUCUCGUACUUCAUCGGGGACGGCCCC